AUAUAUAUAUAUAUAUAUAUAUAUAUAUAUAGUGUUUCUCUCAAAACGCUGAAUUUAUGUGGUUCUAUUUGGACCCAAGAUAUUAAACUGUUUUUGGAAGUUGGCGGAGUGCUUGAAGCCUGUUUCAACUAGGCUGCAGGUCGGCCCGGUAUUUCACUAUCUCCAGGAUCGGCCCACGCAUU